UUACACAUGCAAGUCGAACGGCAGCGCGGGGCAACCUGGCGGCGAGUGGCGAACGGGUGAGUAAUAUAUCGGAACGUACCCUGGAGUGGGGGAUAACGUAGCGAAAGUUACGCUAAUACCGCAUACGAUCUAAGGAUGAAAGUGGGGGAUCGCAAGACCUCAUGCUCCUGGAGCGGCCGAUAUCUGAUUAGCUAGUUGGUGGGGUAAAGGCCUACCAAGGCAUCGAUCAGUAGCUGGUCUGAGAGGACGACCAGCCACACUGGAACUGAGACACGGUCCAGACUCCUACGGGAGGCAGCAGUGGGGAAUUUUGGACAAUGGGCGAAAGCCUGAUCCAGCAAUGCCGCGUGAGUGAAGAAGGCCUUCGGGUUGUAAAGCUCUUUUGUCAGGGAAGAAACGGUGAGGGCUAAUAUCCCUUGCUAAUGACGGUACCUGAAGAAUAAGCACCGGCUAACUACGUGCCAGCAGCCGCGGUAAUACGUAGGGUGCAAGCGUUAAUCGGAAUUACUGGGCGUAAAGCGUGCGCAGGCGGUUUUGUAAGUCUGUCGUGAAAUCCCCGGGCUCAACCUGGGAAUUGCGAUGGAGACUGCAAGGCUAGAAUCUGGCAGAGGGGGGUAGAAUUCCACGUGUAGCAGUGAAAUGCGUAGAGAUGUGGAGGAACACCGAUGGC
rnacentral:rRNA from 1 species